GGCGGCUUAGCUCAGCUGGUUAGAGCGUCGGAAUCAUAAUCCGCAGGUCCUCGGUUCAAGUCCGAGAGCCGCCA
rnacentral:tRNA from 1 species